rnacentral:rRNA from 1 species
UACGAAGGGGGCUAGCGUUGCUCGGAAUCACUGGGCGUAAAGGGUGCGUAGGCGGGUCUUUAAGUCAGGGGUGAAAUCCUGGAGCUCAACUCCAGAACUGCCUUUGAUACUGAGGAUCUUGAGUUCGGGAGAGGUGAGUGGAAACUGCGAGUGUAGAGGUGAAAAUUCGUAGAUAAUUCGCAAGAACACCAGUGGCGAAGGCGGCUCACUGGCCCGAUACUGACGCUGAGGCACGAAAGCGUGGGGAAGCAACAGGAUUAAGAAACCCGGUAG